UACGUAGGCAGCGAGCGUUGUUCGGAGUUACUGGGCGUAAAGGGUGUGUAGGCGGUUCUUUAAGUUUGGUGUGAAAUCUCCCGGCUCAACCGGGAGGGUGCGCCGAAUACUGAGGGACUAGAGUAUGGGAUGGGAAAGUGGAAUUCCCGGUGUAGCGGUGAAAUGCGUAGAUAUCAGGAGGAACACCUGUGGUGUAGACGGCUUUCUGGACCAUAACUGACGCUGAGACACGAAAGCGUGGGUAGCAAACAGG
rnacentral:rRNA from 1 species